rnacentral:rRNA from 1 species
GACGAACGCUGGCGGCGUGCUUAACACAUGCAAGUCGAACGAAGAGCGGUGGAACCUUGCUUCUAUCCAUCUUAGUGGCGCACGUGUGAGUCACGCGUAAUCAACCUGCCCUUCAGUGGGGUACAACAGUGGGAAAGGACCUCUUAUACCGCAUACUAUCCAAUCUCGGCAUCGAGUAGUGAUAAAAGGUGGUCUCUAUUUAUAAGCUAUCAUUCAAGCAGGAGUUUGCGUCUGAUUAGCUAGCUGGUUGGGAAACGGCCCAACAAUGCGAUGAUCAGUAGCCGGUCUGAGAGGAUGGAUGGCCAAAUUGGGACUGAGACACCGCCCAGAACUCUUAGGGAGGGAGCAGGGGGGGAACUUCCGGAAUGGAGGGAAGUCUGACGGAGGAACGCCGGGUGGGUGAUGAAGGCCUUCGGGUUGUAAAGAUCUGUUAAUCGGGACGAAAGGACUUCGUGCGAAUAGUUAGAGGAAUUGACGGUACCGGAAUAGAAAGCCACGGCUAACUACGUG